rnacentral:sRNA from 17 species
UCACGGUACGAAUCACCUCCUGGCAGAGGCGGGGGAACCACAACCGGCCGUUGCAAGACGGCCUUGGGGUGAAGUCCGUCAGCGGCAAAGCACCUCCGACGAAGGAUUCCUUUGGGAUACCCCUGUGUCGGAUGCCUUGCAUUGGCGGACCGGGUCUUUGAUCUCUCUGACCCGAAUCCGACAGCUAACUCCGCAGGCUUCCCAGAGAGGAUAA